rnacentral:piRNA from 1 species
UAUAAGACACAAACAUCUUGAGUGCUGCGC